AACGAACGCUGGCGGCGUGCCUAACACAUGCAAGUCGAACGGAAUGAGGGGCUUGCUCCUCAUUUAGUGGCGCACGGGUGAGUAACGCGUAGAUAAUCUGCCCGACGAUCCGGGAUAACAGUUCGAAAGGACUGCUAAUACCGGAUAAGCCCACGUGAUCUUCGGAUCGUGCGGGAAAAGGGGGGGACCUUUUGGCCUUCUGUCGUCGGAUGAGUCUGCGUACCAUUAGCUAGUUGGUGGGGUAAGUGCCUACCAAGGCUACGAUGGUUAGCUGGUCUGGGAGGAUGAUCAGCCACACUGGAACUGAGACACGGUCCAGACUCCUACGGGAGGCAGCAGUGGGGAAUUUUGCGCAAUGGGCGAAAGCCUGACGCAGCAACGCCGCGUGAGUGAUGAAGGCUUUCGGGUCGUAAAGCUCUGUCAAGGGGAAAGAAGUGUAUUGUGGUUAAUGCCCGCGAUACUUGACGGUACCCCUAAAGGAAGCACCGGCUAACUCCGUGCCAGCCGCCGCGGUAAUAC
rnacentral:rRNA from 1 species